GACGAACGCUGGCGGCGUGCCUAAUACAUGCAAGUCGAACGCUUCUUUCCUCCCGAGUGCUUGCACUCAAUUGGAAAGAGGAGUGGCGGACGGGUGAGUAACACGUGGGUAACCUACCCAUCAGAGGGGGAUAACACUUGGAAACAGGUGCUAAUACCGCAUAACAGUUUAUGCCGCAUGGCAUAAGAGUGAAAGGCGCUUUCGGGUGUCGCUGAUGGAUGGACCCGCGGUGCAUUAGCUAGUUGGUGAGGUAACGGCUCACCAAGGCCACGAUGCAUAGCCGACCUGGGAGGGUGAUCGGCCACACUGGGACUGAGACACGGCCCAGACUCCUACGGGAGGCAGCAGUAGGGAAUCUUCGGCAAUGGACGGAAGUCUGACCGAGCAACGCCGCGUGAGUGAAGAAGGUUUUCGGAUCGUAAAACUCUGUUGUUAGAGAAGAACAAGGACGUUAGUAACUGAACGUCCCCUGACGGUAUCUAACCAGAAAGCCACGGCUAACUACGUGCCAGCCGCCGCAGUAC
rnacentral:rRNA from 1 species